UACGUAGGGACCAAGCGUUUUUCGGAUUUACUGGGCGUAAAGGGCGCGUAGGCGGCGUGGUAAGUCAGCUGUGAAAUCUCCGAGCUUAACUCGGAACGGUCAGCUGAUACUGCUGUGCUAGAGUACAGAAAGGGCAAUCGGAAUUCUUGGUGUAGCGGUGAAAUGCGUAGAUAUCAAGAGGAACACCUGAGGCGAAGGCGGGUUGCUAGGCUGAUACUGACGCUGAGGCGCGAAAGCUAGGGUAGCAAACGGG
rnacentral:rRNA from 1 species